rnacentral:ncRNA from 2 species
GGGGAAGCCGGUGCAAUUCCGGCGCUGGCCCUUCCCCACGUCUCGACUUCGCUCGACCCGGGGAGACCCCUACCGUAAGCCGCCCGCAGAGGCGGCGAGCCGGAAUGCCC